rnacentral:rRNA from 1 species
UACGUAGGUGGCUAGCGUUGUCCGGAAUUACUGGGCGUAAAGGGCGCGUAGGCGGUUUGACCAGUCAGGUGUGAAAUUCCCGGGCUUAACCUGGGGGCUGCACUUGAUACUGUCAGGCUUGAAUUCGGGAGAGGAUAGCGGAAUUCCCAGUGUAGAGGUGAAAUUCGUAGAUAUUGGGAAGAACACCGAUGGCGAAGGCAGCCAUCUGGACCGACACUGACGCUGAGGCGCGAAAGCGUGGGGAGCAAACAGG